UACCUGCGGAACGAUUGUCUCAUGAUCGAGUGUGAAGUCAGUGUUAUCAAGGAAUCACUCGAUAUCCAUGUGCCGCCCUCUGACAUUCUGGAUAAUCUUGCAACCUUGCUAGAGGGGAAGAUAGGAGCAGACGUGACUUUCAAGGUUAAAGGGGAGAUUUUUUCUGCUCACAAGAUUUUGCUCGCGAUGAGAUCGGCGGUCUUCAACGCGGAGUUCUACGGGGCGAUGAGGGACAAAGGAGCGCAGGACAUAACUGUUGACGACAUGCAGCCUGCUGUUUUCAGGGCAUUUCUUCACUUCAUAUACACGGAUUCAAUGCCUCCCAUGGACGGUCUUGAGGAUGAUGACAAAAGAGAAAUGGUUAAGCACUUACUCGUGGCUGCGGACAAGUAUGCCAUGGAAAGGAUGAAGAGGAUAUGUGAAAGCAUGCUAUGCAAGAGUCUUGAUGUUGAGACUGUGGCGACCAUAUUAGCUCUGGCUAACCAGUAUCAUUGCAACAACCUCAAAGAUGCUUGCAUUGAAUUUAUGCUCUCUUCAAAUAGAAUGAAAGAUGUGAUCUCAAGCCAAGGUUAUCUACACCUCAAAAGAUCUUCUCCUGAUGUCAUCGUGGAUGUGUUGGAGAGAGCAGCGAAGUUCUGCAAG
rnacentral:rRNA from 1 species